rnacentral:rRNA from 1 species
CGCGUAGGCGGCAGCGUGUGUCGGAUGUGAAAAGCUCCGGGCUCAACCCGGAAAGUGCGUUCGAAACUGCGUUGCUCGAGUGCGGGAUGGGAGAUCGGAAUGCAAGGUGUAGCGGUGAAAUGCGUUGAUAUCUUGCAGAACACCGGUGGCGAAGGCGGAUCUCUGGAACGCAACUGACGCUGAGGCGCGAAAGGUAUGGGAGCAAACA